GCACAAACUACUUAUAGGAUGGUAGGUUCAGGUCGUGUUCCCCCAGAAUGUCAGAUCCUCACAAGGCUUCGGAACUUUGUUGUCUAGUCCCUGGAUGUACUUGCCGGGAAUUUGAUACUUAUCUGCAAAAUAAAGUGUGAAAAAGCUUUAGAAAUUAUGCACAUAAACACCUGUAAAAUCAAGAGCCGGAAUCAAGACAUUACAAGACUGAGGUUUCCAAAAGGACAUAUUUGCGAACCUAGUAGAAGUUUGCAGACUUGCUGGACCUGGUUUCCCUGUAUUUGGACCAGGACUCGGUCCUUGGAGCCGGGGACCGGGUUCAGGGCUGAGCUGGCUUGGACUCUGUGCUGCAGGGCGACUGACACAGCCAUGGGGUCCAGACCAUACACCUCCAGGUUCUUUAUCAUUGUCACCUAAAGAGAAGGGAGAAAGGGACGGACGGAAGGAUAUUUGAUUAAAAUCACAAAGAUUGAGGAGUGUUGCUUUAAAACAUGAGUUCGUAAACAUGUUGUCAUGGGUGUACCUUCUUGUUGGAGCCCCUGGAGGCCACAGAGAUGUCUAUGGGCUCAAUGUGGCCCUUCUUUACUAUGGGUGGCUGGCCAGGGAACACCAGCUGGUGGCAGUGCUGCAUUUUGUAUAGCGUCCUGUGGACACAAGAUGGUGGUGUUGAGUCAUAAUCCAAGGCCAGUGAUGCAGCAUGACUUCAGGCCAAUGUUUCACUACCCACAGCCGUUUACCUGCUGAAGAGGUCAUCCCACUUGAGUGCCUCCACCUCCUGGUACUCUGACUUCUCCAGUAGGCAGUCACAUAGGAUCGGGUUAAUGAUGACAUAACUGGUGGAGAGUUCACACAGACUGUGUUAAUAUAGGAUUGUGGAUAGCUAUCACCUUGAACAAGAUACUCUCUUGGGGCAUAUUUGCGCUGGCAGUGCAUCUCCCAAACAACUGGAUAUUGAACGUCUCAGAUCAUAAAAUCAUGUCUCAAAUAACGAAUGAAAGUAAACGCUUUGAAUCCACGCAAUCAUCUCACUUUUUAUUAUUUUCAUCCACCAGCUCAUUCCUCUUCACAUAAUCUGUGAUGAUUGCUCUCACUUCCGAUGGUUGGAGUACUGUUCCUUUCCUUUGAGAGAGAGCACAUACAUGUCAGUAUAACACAAAAAAAAAAUUAAUUUUUUUUUUUUAAAGACUACAAACACACUAACCCUUGCAGGCAUGUACCCAGACUCACCUCUUCUUGGCAUCUUGAAACAGAGGCUCCAGACGAGAGGACACACUGUAGAGGGUAGUGAUCUCAGGGGGAUGGUAGGGCUUCUCCCCCUCUGCUCCUCCCACCUCCACUGAGGCCUCCUCUAUCCCAGGAUCCUUUGGGGUGCGGAAGGAGCGCAGUCUAGAUGCAGCAGAAAAGACUGUAGUAAAACACUUCACUAUUGCUAAUCUCAAGCCCCUUCAUAAAUGUCGUAGGUGGAAGAGGCUAUACUCACUCUGGGUUCUUCCAGUCAACCUCUACAAUGCUCUCCACCCCUUUACUCAGCUCCUUCACCCUCACCAGGCUGUGCUGCUGCUGCAUGCACUGAAGGAACUUGGAUAACUGGGGACAAAACAUUUAGGAUUUAAAAGGAUAAUUCAGUGAUCAUUGAUGGAUAGUCAAAUUAAAAAUGUCUGGGUUUUGCCAUCCUGUCUCCAAAAUUCAAGAUUCAAGUUUAUUAGAAACAUCAUAGCAUUAUGAAAUGAGAUGUAUUUUAUAAGUUUAGUCAAGGUCCACUCUUAUUCUAAGACAGGGGUUACCUUUUUAUAGCUUGAUUUCUUGAUGUCAAGUUGCUUUCCACUUGGACUGUAAAAACAACAAUUCAUAUGAGUGUUCAAUUCAAAGCUACUUCUUUUAAGCAGAAUCCUAACUUGAGAUAGGCCAGAUGCACAGAACUCUUUUGCACUUAUGCACUGAUGUUAGUGGGAAACUCAAUGUCCCCGAGUAGUGUUUACCAGCAGGAGAACAUGUGGAUGCGCAGGAAGCUACUGGUCAGCAGGGGGAGCUCUGACUUCUUCACUUUGCUCUUGAGCGCCUGGAGGAAACACUGCAGUAGCAGGGCAUCCAUCUGCUCUGUAAGGAGAGGACUAUGUUUGAGAUGCAAGUUUGUGAUAUAUACUGUAAUUGUCUCUUUUUGUUUGUCAAUUCAUGACUCAUGCAAUAAGAUAACUGCUUUCAAAGAAAGACACUUAAAAUCAAAUAUGUUUGCCAUCAAUCUCUGUUUUAAGGAUUUUGAUUUAUGAAGGACAAUGUAAUUGUGAUGGAAUUACAUAUUGACAGAAUACUAGAGCAAAGAAAACCAGAACUCUUCUCAAUUCCCUUAGACCCAAACACAUGGACACAUUAAAUAAAUGCCAAACUCUC